UGCAUAUCAAUAAGCGGAGGAAAAGAAACCAACAGGGAUUGCCUUAGUAGCGGCGAGUGAAGCGGCAAAAGCUCAAAUUUGAAAUCUGGCGUAUUCUGCGUCCGAGUUGUAAUUUGAAGAAGGAUACUUUGGGGUUGGCUCUUGUCUAUGUUUCUUGGAACAGAACGUCACAGAGGGUGAGAAUCCCGUGCGAUGAGAAGCCCAAUUCCGUGUAAAGUGCCUUCGAAGAGUCGAGUUGUUUGGGAAUGCAGCUCUAAGUGGGUGGUAAAUUCCAUCUAAAGCUAAAUAUUGGCGAGAGACCGAUAGCGAACAAGUACAGUGAUGGAAAGAUGAAAAGAACUUUGAAAAGAGAGUGAAAAAGUACGUGAAAUUGUUGAAAGGGAAGGGCUUGAGAUCAGACUUGGUAUUUUGUAUGUCUUGCUUUCGGGUGGGGCCUCUGCAGUUUACUGGGCCAGCAUCGGUUCGGGUGGUAGGACAAUUGCGAAGGAACGUGGCACUGCUUCGGUGGUGUGUUAUAGCCUUUGUGGAUACUGCCUGUCUGGACCGAGGACUGCGUCAUUUGACUAGGAUGCUGGCAUAAUGAUCUUAAGUCGCCCGUCUUGACCCACCCGGACCACA
rnacentral:rRNA from 1 species